AGGACGAACGCUGGCGGCGUGCUUAACACAUGCAAGUCGAGCGAGGCCCCUCCCUUCGGGGAGGGUGUCCUAGCGGCGAACGGGUGAGUAACACGUGGGCAACCUGCCCUCAGCACGGGGAUAACCCCGGGAAACCGGAGCUAAUACCCGAUACGACCUCGGUAGGCAUCUACUGAGGUGGAAAGUGUUAGUGGCUGAGGAUGGGCCCGCGGCCUAUCAGCUUGUUGGUGGGGUAACGCCUACCAAGGCGACGACGGGUAG
rnacentral:rRNA from 1 species